rnacentral:rRNA from 1 species
GACGAACGCUGGCGGCGUGCUUAACACAUGCAAGUCGAACGGAAAGGCCCUGCUUUUGUGGGGUGCUCGAGUGGCGAACGGGUGAGUAACACGUGAGUAACCUGCCCUUGACUUUGGGGUAACUUCAGGAAACUGGGGCUAAUACCGGAUAGGAGCUCCUGCUGCAUGGUGGGGGUUGGAAAGUUUCGGCGGGUGGGGAUGGACUCGCGGCUUAUCAGCUUGUUGGUGGGGUAGUGGCUUACCAAGGCGUUGACGGGUAGCCGGCCUGAGAGGGUGACCGGCCACAUUGGGACUGAGAUACGGCCCAGACUCCUACGGGAGGCAGCAGUGGGGAAUAUUGCACAAUGGGCGGAAGCCUGAUGCAGCAACGCCGCGUGCGGGAUGACGGCCUUCGGGUUGUAAACCGCUUUCGCCUGUGACGAAGCGUGAGUGACGGUAAUGGGUAAAGAAGCACCGGCUAACUACGUG